UACACAUUAAGAAUUCAGAAGUAAAGGUGUC
rnacentral:piRNA from 1 species